rnacentral:lncRNA from 1 species
UGGCUUUCUCCCAGUCUCCCUAUAAUGCUUCUAUUGUGAAUGCUAUUUCACAUUCAAUAGUUGAUGCUAAAAUGGCUUUUCAUCCCAUCUCAGUGCUGGAACCCUCAGCUGCACAGAAUGCUUUUGUCCUUGUGUAACAUGGCCCUCUGCAAUACUCAUCUGUGUGGAUGGAGCCUCACUGACCUGGUUCUGGAGGGUGCCUGUUCCCAGGAGGGAUACAGAUGCACACACUUGCAAAAAUGCCUUGUCCUGAAGUAUAGCCAGACACUCUGGAUUACCACCUACAGUGUAAGGUGUACCUGGAAUGGCAGCAACAAUUCAAUGGCAGCAACUAUUCAGUGAUAGUUGUGUAUUGCUGGCUUUGGAGCAGAACUAGCCUUCUUUAUACACACGAACAAAGGUCUGUGGAAAAGGAAAAAACAACAAACAAAACCAAAACAAACAAACAAGAACUUGCGAGACCAAAUAAAGACUGCCAUUUUGCAUCCGGAAUUGCUGCU